AUGAAGCUGUGGAGCCGUGUCUGCUUCCUCGUUCUAGCAGUUUCUCCUAUUUGCCUGGGUACUAAAACUGCAAGUGAUGCACCUCAAAACAAUGAUACAGAGGCUUCUGCCGCCACGAUCACUUCCCCACACCAUUCAAAUACCACAGAUGCUGAGAGUACUACAGCAGUGAUGACAAACGUUACAUCUGGAGGUACAGUGGCUACUACUCUAACAAGUACUAAUGUACCAACGAAAGAGACUACCACCAAAAUCAGUGGUGAUCAAACGACCCGUGUUUCUACGACAUCAAGUACCAGCUCAGGAAUUACAGGACCUCCUUCAGCUGCUGGCUCGUCUGCAGGUUAUGUGGUCCUGGCGCUUAUCAUCAUAGUGAUUUUAAUUCUGUGUAUCAUCCUCUACCUCUUGAGGAGAGCCUCCAGGACAUAUUCAUUUGACCUCCAGCGUCCAAAUCCUGUUGGCCAUCUCAGCCAGCCCACUGGCACCUUUGAGCCAGUCUACCUGGAUGAUCUGGAGCGACCGGUACCUAAAGAUAUUGAAGCCACUGAUGACCUUUCACCUCCACCGGUCGCUAACGGCACGAGUCUACAGUCGGAGGAAAAGGACUCCACCGGAGAGAACGCUCCUGAGGAGCAGCUAGAAGCAAACGGUGUGGAGACUUCACCUGCUGAAAACACCACUCCCUCAUUGAGCAGCGAUGAAGCUGACAAGAUAUCCAACCCACCGAGCAGUACCAACCUGUUCUUUGAUGCUAUUGGGGAGCAGCAGAAUGAAAACAACAACAACCCUACAGUUUGCGCCAGUGACCCAUUUGUUGAAAUAAACCUGGACGAGCCAGCGUGGUGUGAUCAGCUCCUCAAUUCUUCUGAAGGUUCUUCCUCAGUCCUCCCCUUCUCUCCAUUCUCCUUAUCCUCCUCUUCCUCUUAGCACCUUGAAUGUUAGCCUCUUCGAUCAACAUAUAGACAGAGACUGUCUUUCGUAGCACAUGGACAUGAGCACGACAUCUUUUGUUCCCAAAGCUAGUAUGGAUUGUCAGGUGAACAACCAAGGAAUUAACAACAACCUGUAAACAUGAAGCUAGCUUUAACUGAUUUCUUAUUGUGAUUUUAUAUGUUUUUUUGUUCAAACUUAAUGGUCUCUUUUAGUAUUUUUUUUCUAAGACUAUAUGAAGGAUUUUAAACUGAUUUUAAUUGAAUUGUUUGAAACGGAGCAAUUUGGGAAGCUCAAAGAGACAGUCCAAAAUUGCAUCUAAGAAAAAGAAGGAUUGAAGAAAUGUUAACAGUUUUUACCCAAAUCACAACUUUUCCUGCAUUUAACUGACUGAUUAUUAUUGUUACCUAACCACACUGCAAACUUCAUACCAAAGGAAGUCAAAUAAGCGAGGUAGCUUAUUCGUGGCAUCUAGACUUACAAUAACACCUGAACUUUUUUACAAAUGUCAUCACUUUAUGAGUGUAUAGAUUGACUCCAGUCACUCCAAAGUGGGCUCUCAGAUCUAACAUUCAUUAUAAGUAGGCUAAAUUUCUCUCAGAAGAGAUAUUUGGUUUUAAGUCAGAUUCUUUUGGGGGAAAUUCGUGUGUAAAAAGCACUCACAUAGGAAACAGUUGAUUAACUUUUUGUACAUUUUAAUAUUGCAAUAAUAAUUUAAGGUUGUAAUCCCAUAGACACACAUGGAUAUACACAAGAAUGAUACAUCAUUUGGUGACCACAUCUCAUUAGCAAUAAAUAUAAAACUAUCUUUAAUGUUUCUUUAUGAUUUUUUUAUUUCGUUUGUUUUACACAUUGUCAGCACAUCAAACUUAAAUCAAAUUAGUUUUUUCCUAAAAACUUUGCCCCAGUAGCAUUCUUCUACUCCAUUUUAUUUACUAAAGCAUCAUAAAACAGCAGCAACAACUAUUACUCUCAAAUUAUCGAUGUAGGCUAGUUUCCCCUAAACCUACAGUAACAUUUGUGAAAUCUCUGAACUAUAGAAAAUAAA
rnacentral:lncRNA from 1 species